rnacentral:rRNA from 1 species
UGAAGAGGUUUGGAAAGACCCACCACAGAAGGUAAUAGUCCUGUAUGUUAAACGAGAAGACUUUAGAUAUGAUCCAGAGUACCACGGGACACGUGAAACCCUGUGGGAAGCAGGAGGGACCACCCUCCAAGGCUAAAUACUACCUAGGGACCGAUAGCGUAUAGUACCGUGAGGGAAAGGUGAAAAGAACCCCGGGAGGGGAGGGAAAUAGAACCUGAAACCCUGCACUUACAAGCUGUGGAAGCACAGUUCUUGUGUGACCGCGUACUUUUUGU